AUGUCAAGGUUAGGGCAUUUCCUAAAUAAAUUCUUGAACAUCUCUCAUGCUUCGAGAUAGCUCUCAAAAUCUUUCUGCUUAAAAAUGGAUUUCAUUCCUGAUUU
rnacentral:snoRNA from 1 species